AGAGUUUGAUCCUGGCUCAGAACGAACGUUGGCGGCAUGGAUUAGGCAUGCAAGUCGGGGGAAUCCCAGCAAUGGGGGAACCGGCGUAAGGGGCAGUAAGGCAUGGGUACCUACCCUGAAGUUCGGGAUAGCCAUCAGAGAUGGUGGGUAAUACCGGAUGAUGUCGUGAGACCAAAGAUUUAUCGCUUUGGGAGGGGCCCAUGUGAUAUUAGCUAGUUGGUGAGGUAAUGGCUCACCAAGGCUAAGAUGUCUAGCGGGUAUGAGAGUACGACCCGCGCCACUCGCACUGAGACACUGGCGAGACACCUACGGGUGGCUGCAGUCGAGGAUCUUCGGCAAUGGGCGAAAGCCUGACCGAGCGAUGCCGCGUGCGCGGUGAAGGCCUUCGGGUUGUAAAGCGCUUUAGUGGGGGAGAAAAACCCGAAAGGGUCUGAUCUAUCCCAAAAAUAAGCUCGGGCUAAGUUCGUGCCAGCCGCCGCGGUAAUAC
rnacentral:rRNA from 1 species